GAGCAAUGAUGAGUCUGUAUUUGCCUGACUGCACAGAGCAUGAAGGCUUCUACACUUGAACUGAGCUCA
ensembl:snoRNA